UGACGGCCAUAUCAUUUUGAAACACCGAAUCUCGUACGAUCACCGAAGUUAAACAAGGUCGAGCCUGAUCAAUACCCAGAUGGGGGACCGCUUCGGAAUACCAGGUACUGUAAG